AACACCAAGUUGCAGCACGUUACCAUAUUGGAAAUGCACACCCCGAUAAAAGGAAAAAUGGUUGGACAGAUGAAAACAUCCUGUUUCAAUAACAAACCAUGGAAAUAGUUUCAUGGCAAACUUUACACAAGCUUGCUAACAAUUAAUGAUUAAUAGGGAAAAGAACUCAUGAAGUGAAUAGAUGAAAAGCCAAAUAGACCUACUGUGAAGAACGGUAAGUGUUAGAGCAAUAAAGAUGAUGUCCUUCUCUGAGUGAUUCUGUGGAUUUGUGUUUGCUUUGAGCACUAUUUAUUGAUGCAGACCACUGCUCUCCUCAAGAAUUUCCUGAAUUGAGCAUUGCUGGACAUGUGCACCUCUUGUAAAAGAGGUUUGUUUUGGCAGAUCCAGGGUCUUGAGGAGUGGGAGGGAAACAUAUUCCUGAACCAACAUUCCAGGGUUUCACUGUGGUAUUCCCAGUGGAAAAUGGUAGAGUGGAAAAGAAAGUUUUCUAUGAAAUGGGCCUCCUGAAAACAGUUUGAUUGCCACUCCCCCUUGAAGAUCCCACCUUCUUGUGUAUGGGGUAUAGUGUAAAUUAUUGUCAGCACUGGGUUUUGUUCCUUUCAUGGUCAGUUAAGGCAGGCUGGGGGCUCUUAAUUGGCCACUCAGGCAGCUGGUCCAAGAAAAGCAUGCUUUCAGGACAGAAGUGUGUGAACAAGACCCACAGGGCAUGUGACACUCAAGGGGGAGAAAAGAUCCCCAUAUUGUCAGUACCUUCCAGAGCAGUACAGCCAGCAGGAGGAAGAUCAGGAUUCCCACAAGCAGACUGAUGGCGAUGAUCCAACCUACCACAUAACCCCUGGGCUCCUGACUAUGCAGUGCCUCAAACACUAGCUGCCACUGGGCACCUCCAUAGCCCGUCCAUCUAUUUGGAUGUGACCUCGUGUCACAAACUGGAUGACAGAGGAGCUAUCCUGUACAGAG